AAUGAAGUCUCAAUUGAGAACAUUAAUCUGUGCCUGGGAAACUGUCCCUAAAAGUCCCCUCACACCAUUAUUUUUGUCCAAGCCUUGGGUCAGCCAGCUAAACUCUUAAGUGCCCUCUUGGUUAAUGUUCAGUGUUGGAACUGGCCAGUAGUGUCCUCUGCACAGAGCAAUGGGAUACUUGAUGGGACAAAGGUGUAGGGGCAGGCAGAGUAGCCCUCUGUACCUUUUAAACUAAAGACAAGCCAACUGAUUUCUACAUUUUAUUUAGUGAAGAGAAAAAAAACAUGUCCAGGUGAGAGGUAACUACUACUUCGUCAUUGCAUCGGUCUCACUCAUGCAGUUUUGAGUUGAGAGAACCAGCUUGAAGCUGUUACCCGUAGGUGGUGUCGUGAACACUGCAGUGAUAUGGAGGGCAGGGGUUUUGACACAGGUUGGCAGCAGAGGCCGAAGUCUUUUCCACUAUACAACCCCGUGGACGAUACGCCACCUGGCUGACUUCAACUCACCCAACCUGGGACGGUUGACCUUCAGGGCCUCCUGGACUCAGAGCAGCGUAGGAGAGAUCUGGAAGUCAGUCUGGCUCAGGUCUAAAGUGCCCUACAGAAACAGGCUCAGACUGCUCCAGAGAAUGGUCCAAGGGAGCCGACAUGCACUACCCCAGAUACUUGUUUUGAAUCUUCGGCAGAUCAAACGACCAGUAAAACUCCAUCCCAGACUGUUAUCAGGGAAUGUCUACAUCCCACCAUGUGGUGACCUUUACAGAAGAGUGGGCAGGUUAGAGUUGGACUUGGAGAUCAUUAGCGCCCAACUGGACCAGGUUUUCUGUUCUGGGGGAAAGUGUCUCCACAGGAAUGGACCAUUCCAGCUUGACUCAUGAGCGAGACAACCUUGAGCAUCUGCUGGAGGAGUCUAGGGCCUAGCAGGGGCUGGUGGAGCAGGGAAGGGAUGCCUCAGAGGCCUGUAUGGAAGCCCUCCACUCCCAGCUGUAUUAGGAACGCUUCAGCCUCCAGGAGACCCACAGAGAGAGACUGGCCACACAGGCAGAGCAACAUGGUAGCAAGCAGGUGGAGCCAUGGGAGACCAAACCAACUAAACUGGUACAGGGAUUCACACCCAAAAUGGAUGCAGGUGGUCCCUUCUACACUUCGUAUUUGUACAGAAGCAUGUAAUCUUGCCAGACGUCUCAGUAGUAUCUAACCCAGGCCUCACCUGUUAAGGCUAACAGAAAACUGAAAGUGGUUGUGAACCAGUAGAAGUCAGGUUUUACCAAUCAUCACACCAGUUGUGAGUAGUCACACAACAGUUGUUUCUAUAAUGAUAAUGCCACAGUAAAGACAUUUACUAUUUUGUGUAACACCGCUUUAUUGGCUGAUGAUCUGCAGAUGAAUGAGUCCCUGUAAAGGGAGGUGAUCUCUCAGACAGAGGCUGGGGUCUGCAGAGGAGUGACCUCCCUGAUGGAGAGUGACAGACGCCUGCUCAGGGUUCUCCUAGCGGCACCGGAGACUGAGCGGGAGGAGCUGCUUCAACAAGGACACCCCUCAGCCCUUGGGCUGGGUAGAAUGUUCUCCGUAUUGCUGCCUUACGCCUAUCCAAACCUUAUGGUCUUCAUACGUGCAAAGAGAGUAUGGGUGGAUUUGGGAUGGAAUCAGUAUCUCUACCUUUAUCUUGAGGUAAUGGAGAAUUUUCUUUUCUCAUUGUUUUCACUCUUUGCAUCGUCAGAGUGCUGAUAGCUCCAGAACACGAAGAAACAGUCAGACUUCUAACGGAGGAACAAAAAACAGUGGUUUGUCAGUCCAAUUUGAAAUGGUCAGACUUAUAAAGGACAAGCCAGAAGCAUAGUUUUGUCAGUCCACAUCUUUUUGUCUCAGGAGCACUUGGGAAACGAAUGUGGAAAUCUCUGGAAAGGAGGAGAGGGUGAGGGAGGAGAGUGCCGUGUAUGAAAUGGAGGAACAAGAUGAGGAAGAGAGAGCGGAAGGGAAUAAUGUGUCUGUUAUUCAUCUGCAGUCAAAAUUCAGUGAGGACUUAAGAUCCAUGAGGUGACCCACUCUAAGCCUGGCACACAAACAAAUAAAGGAAGAGAACCAGGUAACUGCCUCUUUGGGAGUCCUUUCCUACAGCACCAUGUCACGUUGAAGCAGUCUAACAUGUGGCAGAGUGAUGUUUCCUUUCAAACAUACCUCUCCUCCAAACCCCACUUCAGCAGUUCCCAAACUUUCAUUUCAUAUAUAAAAAUGUUAUAUAACAAACUUUUAAAAAUAUUUUUUACCUGGGAUAUUAUUAAGCCAUGGUAUUUAUUAUACUUCAUGUUAAAAUAUCACUUUAGUAAAGUUCAUGCAACCUGAGAACCAUUUUUAAGCUAAGAUGCUACUUUUUGCAGUUUACUGUGCUACAUGCUUCACCAUCCAGUAUCAUGCCAACACAUGCUGAAUAGACAAGCUAUAGACAUACUUAUGAGUUAUGUGUAUUGUGGAUUUCUGAGGAUUCACUGGCUUAGAAUACUGCUGAUCAAAGAUAAUUCUAGACAGUCUCUGCCUCUGGUCUGUGAGGGGAAAGAGGGGAAUCUGGAGAGUCCAUUCUUUAACAGCUGUGCUCAAAUCUGGCUAUGUAUACAUUGUAACAACCUUAUGUAACAGCAAGCUUGUUACAGCCACAAAGCCCAUGACCAAUGUCCAUUUAUUCAUGUAACACCCCAUUACACUGGUUGACACAGUGCCAUUGUCUUAGUCUGAGGACUCUGACAUGUUCUUGUUUAUUGUUGAGGCUGGUGAGGAGUUUUGAUUUCUGGCUUAAGCUAAUACUAAUCCCUCUCUGAGACUAUUUUCUUUGGCCCUGAGCUUGUGGUCCACGGUGCACUGCCUUUUACUGCCCUGGUCCCCGAGGACACAUAAACAUGGAUUCAUGGGAUAUGCAGACUGGGAAGACAUGGUUGGAAUACCGCAGGGCUAGACACUUUCUCUCACCGAUAUGACACUGUCAUUAUGAAAGGACCAAUCAGAUAACAGGGUUAUGACAAUGUCAUUAUGAAAGGACCAGUCAGAGCUGGGUGAUAAUGAUGUCAUUAUGAAGGACUAGUCAGAGAGAAGGGUUAAGACAGAACUACGUUCAGGAUGUAAAGAAAGCACUCUUAGAUAGCAGUAUUUUUCAAAGAAAAAGAUGUAAAGACGGUUAUUUUGUAUUUUCGCUUUAUUAUCAUAAUAAUAUAUGCCAGUUAGCAGUUGCUUUUAUCCAAAAUGACUUAGUCAUGCGUGUAUACAUUUUAGGUCUGGGUGGUCCUGGGAAUCAAACCCACUAUCCUUAUGUUGCAUGCACCAUGCUCUACCAACUGAGCUACUUCAUAUUUUCCUCUGUUCUUUUCACUUCCAAGUACACUGCUUACUCAGGAAUAGGUGUUACAUAAUGUUAUUACAUUCAUACUGACCAAUCCUGGCACUUAUUCUUGGAGCAUACUGGACUAAUUUCCCCCUACAGUUCAGCUGUGCUUGCACUAAUUUUAUUUGUUGCAACUGAGAGGUAUGUGCCCUAAACCAUGUACUUAUGGCUGUCUGGCUGAUGCAACGUUACAUGACUCCACACUGGCACAGACCGCACAGACAAUCCUUCUUGAUUGAGGAAGCUGGAAACUUCCUACUCACUUACUCACACUCUCUCUUUUUUCUUCCAUCUUUUUCUCUGUUACAUUCUCUCGCUCUCUCUCAUUGUGAGGAAAUGGGAUGAUGACCCUGUCAUGAGAUUUUCCGUUGACGUCAUCACAGUCCAAGAUUUCUCUGUGUUCUCAGUGUAUGCUUGUCCCUGUUGCUUUUUAACGGCCCCAUGUCUGCUAAGUUCAACUGAGAUACAAACUGCAGACUUUGGCAAGUCAUCACAACGUCAAACUAGAACCUGCAGGAGCCCUAGCGCAAAUCUUCAUUUUGAUAACCCAAGAGUUACACCAGCAGAUGAUAGCGCUGGUCAUAGAGCUGCAGAAGCUGAGAAGGGUCUGUAAAGAGACAUCCACACAACCUGUCUCCCCCCCAGGACCAGGGAGUGGCUGGAAAGAGCUGCUUUGCUUAAGCUAGGGCUGCCAACCCAACCCUCCUGGUUUGGCUGACUCUCCCAGAGGCUUAGGCUUUCUCUCUCAACAAGCAGUUAAGCAAUUGUUUUGAUAAUUGAAUCAAUGCAUGAAAUAUAAACAAAGUUCUGUGUAGUAAUUAUUGUUUAUGCUUCUACAGUUGGCAUGGCCAAUACGUGCUACUAUAUCAGUGGUUCCAGUUAUCAUGCCAAAACCCAUGAUUUAGUUUGAAAGUCUCUGUAUAGGACUGUGUGGGAGAACUGGAGGGAAUAGGGAGAGACUGGAUGUCCUGGAGCGCCAGUGGACUUCUUUGGAUGGUACCUCCAGGAUCAUUGACAAAAUACGGGAAGUGUUUUCCUACAUACAGUCAUCAACCGAGUCUGACUUCUUGCCAGAAGAUGACAGCUAGCAAAGGUAACUGAAAGUGGUGACCACUUGUGGACUGGUUUGAACAGGUCCUUUUAGCUCAGUAGUCACAGAGGAGAGGAGACAACCACACCAAUGCCUCCUUGCCUUCAAAUGAUUGAGACGAACCCCACUAAUUCAGACAGUUCUCGAACAUCCUUCUCCGGAGCAGAGUGGUCCCCUAGCCUAGAUGGAUCCAUCGGCCACCCUUCUGAAGAGCGUCUGUCGCUGCUGCGCUGUCAUGUUCUCACAGCUCUCCAGCAGGUUGGCCACAAUGAGGGUCUGCUGGAUGGUCUUGGACUUGACCCACACCCGCCCGUUCAUCCCCACCACAAUCUCAAAGGGGAACAUCUUCUCCAGGUCCUUGGCUAUCUCACUCUGGGGUGCCAGCAGCCUGGAUAGAGAGAGGACAAUUACUAUUCAGAACCGGGGUCGUGUUGAGUGGUGCAACAUUACAGAAUGUUUAGAUAGAUUUGUAAAAUGUAGAUCAUAUGCUGAAUGUUAACUGUGAGGCUGUUUUGAAUAACACUUUCUAAAUGACCAUAGACUAGUUUUAUUAUUGUGACAUACCUGCGUACAAGUCCCAGGGACACCUUGAAGAGAAGCCCGCCUGCUCCAAACACCCCCAUCCCGUUGGCUCGUCCACAGCUGUCUAUACACACCAGCUCCGGCUCCAUGUCUUUGUUGGCAAUGAUGAACUGAGAGUACACCAGGUCCCCUACCUGCAAUGGCACCACAGAAACAAAAUUGAGAAAGACUAGUGCCAUCAAACUUUAAAUUGAAAGACGACGUUUAGAGGAGUAGUUCACUAUUUUACAACUUGAUGUUAGAUGGUUCCUCACCCUGAAAGUAGUCUAUGGGCCAGGAGAAACUGUAAUCCAUGUUUCAGUUCUUUAAAAACCGCCACUACAAACUUCAGCCACCACAAGCUAACCAUCAAUGGAAGUGAAGGGGGUAUGUGAGCAUGUUUUAUUUCUUGAAAAAUCACCAUUAAGUAACAUCAAACCAAAUAUGGAGUUGAUUUGAAUUGAUUUCAGGUGAAUUUGACUUUUUUUAACAUGCUCACAUGCCUCCAAUUGAUUGUUAGCUGAAGUUUGUAGUGGCUGUUUAAAGAAAAGCCCUGGAUUACCUUUUCUUU